rnacentral:rRNA from 1 species
UACGUAGGGUGCGAGCGUUUGUCCGGAUUUAUUGGGCGUAAAGAGCUCGUAGGCGGCUUGUCACGUCGGGUGUGAAAGCCCGGGGCUUAACCCCGGGUCUGCAUUCGAUACGGGCUAGCUAGAGUGUGGUAGGGGAGAUCGGAAUUCCUGGUGUAGCGGUGAAAUGCGCAGAUAUCAGGAGGAACACCGGUGGCGAAGGCGGAUCUCUGGGCCAUUACUGACGCUGAGGAGCGAAAGCGUGGGGAGCGAACAGG